GGGCCAUUAGCUCAGUUGGUAGAGCACCUGACUCUUAAUCAGGGCGUCCUGGGUUCGAAUCCCCGAUGGCCCACCA
rnacentral:tRNA from 1 species